AGAUGCAUCGGUCCGUGUAAGGGGCCGAUGUGUCGUCGGUGCCAGGUCCGCGUCGAUGCGUCAGGGCUGAGCGCCGAUCAGUAGUCGAAGAGUUAAAACUCCGAUUUUUCAAACUGAACUUGUAUUCCGAUAAUUGAAUUACAGAAUUCACUGGUAAUACAGCUUCAAGUUGUCGGCGUUCCAAGUCCGGAGAAUGGGUUUCCCCUCAAGGGUCUCCAGCCGGUAGGCCCUCGGCCCGAAGGUGUCAGCAACCUUGUAGGGUCCUUCCCAGUUGGGAGUCCGCUUCCCUUGGUCCAAGGGCUUCGACACUUCUGCCUUCCUCAAGACUAGGUCGUCAGGCUUAAAGAGCUUUGGUCUGACCUUGGCGUUGUAAUACCGGGCGACCCUCUGUCGGUAUGAGGCCAUUCGGAUUUGAGCCUCAUCUCGCAGUUCGGGGAGAAGGUCUAGGUCGGCCCUCCGGCUUUCGGAGUUGUCCG
rnacentral:lncRNA from 1 species